GGAAAAGACAACCUAGAAAGAUUUUAUGAGACCUUCCAUGGAGCCAAUAUCAGUGCUCAGUAUCUGGUAACUGUAGAUAUAAUAAGAGGAUACCUACAUAAAACAUUAUCUACAACAGUGGUGUUCAUAGUCGAAAGUGAUAAAGGUGUUGGAUGACAGUGUGAUUUGCACACAAGCGUGAAAACAACUUGGAUCUUGGGUUGUUGCUGUUGCACUAAAGUGUGAAACAACCUAGGCACAAUUUGACAACAUGGCCACCAGAUCCAGAAGGUAUCCCAAAUGCCUAAAAGUUGCUAAGGAUGGGAUAAAGAGAAAUCUCAUGGCAUCCA